AGUGAACGCUGGCGGUAGGCCUAACAUAUGCCAGUCGAACGGCAGCACAGUAAGAGCUUGCUCUUACGGGUGGCGAGUGGCGGCCUGGUGAGGAAUCCUUCGGCAUCUAUCUUUUCGCGGGGGAUAACGUAGGGAAACCUACGCUAAUAACGCAUACGCCCUACGGGUGAAAGCACGGGAUCUUCGGACCUUGCGCGAUUGAAUGAGCCGAUGUCGGAUUAGCUAGUUGGCGGGGUAAAGGCCCACCAAGGCGACGAUCCGUAGCUGGUCUGAGAGGAUGAUCAGCCACACUGGAACUGAGACACGGUCCAGACUCCUACGGGAGGUAGCAGUGUGGAAUAUUGGACAAUGGGCGCGAGUCUGAUCCAGCCAUACCGCGUAGGUAAAGAAAACGUUCGGGUUGGUAAGACGUUUUGUUGGGAAAGAAAAGCAGCAGGGUAAGGCCCCGCUAGACUGACGGUACCCAGAGAAUAAGCACCGGCUGACUUCGUG
rnacentral:rRNA from 1 species